rnacentral:tRNA from 1 species
GCGCAUUGUGCUAUAGUUGGCAAAGUAGUUAGCAAAUCCUCGCUUUUCGCUGCGCCACAACGGCUUUUUCUCCCCUGCUAAGGGAGUAGGCCGGGUAACCGGCGCGAGGGUUCAAAUCCCUCCUUCUGCGCCA